AUAAUGGCAGAGUUCUCUGUUUGUGAGGAAGACCGAGCCGCAGAACCUGAGAUUAAAGGAGUCUGUAAAACCCGCCUCGACCUUCUCACUGGACCGGGAGCGAAGGAAGAAGGAAUUUUGUUUGGAGUCUGUUCAACCAACCGUCAGCCGAUCAGCCUUUCUACGUAUGCUGCCACUGCCCCAGAGACGCGUGGGUGGAUGCCACAAGAGCUGUUGGUGACAUCGCAAUUGGAUGGAGGCAAAGCAGGCCAGAGGUCAGAGGAGGCCGAUGGGGCAGAACAGCAGUCAGUCCAUUCCUCCUGAGAGAACUCCACACCAGUAGUGCUUCCAUCUAAACCACCACCACCAGACCCCUCAAAGUGAAAAGUCAAGAAAACAAAGCUAUCAGGUAAGAAAGCAGGAAAAAAAUCUACCUCGAUACAGAAAAAGAGAAAUAUCUCCAGCUAAGAGCUUCAUCCUUCAAGGUGAAAUGUGUAGAGUGGAAAGCAGGAGAGCAGAGAGAGAGAGGAGAUGGAAGGAAAAAAAGCUGAAAAAUGAGGUGAAGAAACUGAUAAGAGGACAUGAGUAGAAGGUGGAAACUCAACAAAAAAGGAAAGGAAGGGUAGAAAGGGAAGAGAAGUGGCGCGCACUGGUGCGACUCUUAGAGCAAAUAAAAGGUGAGAUUUGUGAAAUGAAACUCCCCGC
rnacentral:lncRNA from 1 species